GAAAUGCGAUAAGUAAUGUGAAUUGCAGAAUUCAGUGAAUCAUCGAAUCUUUGAACGCACCUUGCACUCCUUGGUAUUCCGAGGAGUAUGCCUGUUUGAGUGUCAUGAAAUUCUCAAUCAUAAUACUUGUGUUAUGACUUGGACUUGGGAUUUGCUGGCUUUCAUAAUAAGGUCAGCUAUCCUUAAAUACAUUAGCAGAACCAUGGUCGUUCUAUUUGGUGUGAUAAUUAUCUGCGCCGUAUAGAUGACUAUUAGAUGUUCAGCUUCUAAUCAAAUAUCUACUUGACAAUUUGACCUCAAAUCAGGUAGGACUACCCGCUGAACUUAA
rnacentral:misc_RNA from 1 species